rnacentral:rRNA from 1 species
ACGGCUCAGUAACACGUAGUCAACAUGCCCAGGGGACGUGGAUAACCUCGGGAAACUGAGGAUAAACUGCGAUAGGCCAAGGUUUCUGGAAUGGACACUGGCCGAAACCUAUAUGGCCCCUGGAUUGGACUGCGGCCGAUCAGGCUGUUGGUGAGGUAAUGGCCCACCAAACCUGUAACCGGUACGGGCUUUGAGAGAAGGAGCCCGGAGAUGGGCACUGAGACAAGGGCCCAGGCCCUAUGGGGCGCAGCAGGCGCGAAACCUCUGCAAUAGGCGAAAGCUUGACAGGGUUACUCUGAGUGAUGCCCGCUAAGGGCAUCUUUUGGCACCUCUAAAAAUGGUGCAGAAUAAGGGGUGGGCAAGUCUGGUGUCAGCCGCCGCGGUAAUACCAGCACCCCGAGUGGUCGGGACGAUUAUUGGGCCUAAAGCAUCCGUAGCUUGUCCUGCAAGUCCUCCGUUAAAUCCACCUGCUCAACAGAUGGGCCGCGGGGGAUACUACAGGGCUAGGAGGCGGGAGAGGCAAACGGUACUCAGUGGGUAGGGGUAAAAUCCAUUGAUCCACUGAAGACCACCAGUGGCGAAGGCGGUUUGCCAGAACGCGCUCGACGGUGAGGGAUGAAAGCUGGGGGAGCAAACCGGAUUAGAUACCCGGGUAGUCCCAGCUGUAAACGAUGCAGACUCGGUGAUGGGUUGGCUUUGAGCCAACCCAGUGCCGCAGGGAAGCCGUUAAGUCUGCCGCCUGGGGAGUACGGUCGCAAGACUGAAACUUAAAGGAAUUGGCGGGGGAG